GCCCUGCCAGUGCUGAUGUGGAUGUAUAAAUAACAAAGGCUUCUCAUUAAAUAUCAGGUGCUGGGAACUUUCUUGUUGUGGUAUUGGAUCCAAUAUUGAUAUUUCUUUGUGGUCUUGGCAUUAGUGGUGCUGCAAUUGCUGCAGUGAUCUCUGAGUAUGUCAGGAAUGCGGUAAACUUGGUACUCUAUGUGUAUUUUGCACAUGUCCUUUAAUUCAUGUGAUCUUCUGCUUUUAACAGAACUUGUCUUUUUGUUCACCAGAUAUUUAAUAGCUUUCAUUCUUCUAUGGAAUUUGAGUGGCAAAGUUCUGCUAAUCCCUUUUGACUUUGAUGGGCAAAGUUUUUCAGCUAUCUGAAAUCUGGUACCUGCUUUUCAAUCUAG
rnacentral:lncRNA from 1 species